UACGGGGGGAGCAAGCGUUGUUCGGAUUUACUGGGCGUAAAGGGCGCGUAGGCGGUCGUGACAAGUCACUUGUGAAAUCUCCGGGCUUAACUCGGAGCGGUCAAGUGAUACUGUCGGACUAGAGUACAGAAGGGGCAACUGGAAUUCUCGGUGUAGCGGUGAAAUGCGUAGAUAUCGGGAGGAACACCAAUGGCGAAGGCAGCUUGCUGGGACGGUACUGACGCUGAGGCGCGAAAGCGUGGGGAGCAAACAGG
rnacentral:rRNA from 1 species